rnacentral:tRNA from 1 species
AAAGGGUGUAUAAGGCAAGCUUCUAACUUAUCCUUACAGCUAAUCAGUUGGCCCUUUU